UACGUAGGGGGCAAGCGUUGUCCGGAAUCAUUGGGCGUAAAGAGCGUGUAGGCGGCUCGGUAAGUCCGCUGUGAAAGUCCAGGGCUCAACCCUGGAAUGCCGGUGGAAACUGUCGAGCUCGAGUCCGGAAGAGGCGAGUGGAAUUCCUGGUGUAGCGGUGAAAUGCGCAGAUAUCGGGAAGAACACCCGUGGCGAAGGCGGCUCUCUGGGACGGUACUGACGCUGAGACGCGAAAGCGUGGGGAGCAAACAGG
rnacentral:rRNA from 1 species